rnacentral:rRNA from 1 species
GUUGACCUCGGAUCAGGUAGGAAUACCCGCUGAACUUAAGCAUAUCAAUAAGCGGAGGAAAAGAAACCAACAGGGAUUGCCUCAGUAACGGCGAGUGAAGCGGCAACAGCUCAAAUUUGAAAUCUGGCCCUAGGCCCGAGUUGUAAUUUGCAGAGGAUGCUUUUGGUGCGGUGCCUUCCAAGUUCCCUAGAACGGGACGCCAGAGAGGGUGAGAGCCCCGUACAGUUGGACACCAAGCCUUUGUAAAGCUCCUUCGACGAGUCGAGUAGUUUGGGAAUGCUGCUCAAAAUGGGAGGUAUAUUUCUUCUAAAGCUAAAUACCGGCCAGAGACCGAUAGCGCACAAGUAGAGUGAUCGAAAGAUGAAAAGCACUUUGAAAAGAGGGUUAAACAGCACGUGAAAUUGUUAAAAGGGAAGCGCUUGUGACCAGACUUGCGUCCGGUGAAUCACCCAGCUCUCGCGGCUGGGGCACUUCGCCGGCUCAGGCCAGCAUCAGCUCGCUGUCGGGGACAAAAGCUUCGGGAACGUAGCUCUCUUCGGGGAGUGUUAUAGCCUGUUGCACAAUACCCUUCGGCGGGCUGAGGUACGCGCUCCGCAAGGAUGCUGGCAUAAUGGUCAUCAGCGAC